CCCUAAACCUAGCCACCCACCCAGAUCAAGCCUAGUUUCCCUUUGCCCCUCCUUGUAUUCCUUCCCGCUCUUCCCUCGACUACCCGACCUGCGACCCCGGACAUUGGUUGGUCGGUGACAAAAACCCAAGAAAGGUAUGCCUGGACUUUGAAAUCGUACAUCACAUCUGUUGACAAUUAUUGGCCACCAGGGAGAGUUGUUCGUGUGGCAGGCGAGAAAGACCAUAAACUGUACAGUGUCGAAGCCGCUUCCGGAGUGGAAAGUGGGAAAUUGGGUAGUUUGUAAGGAUGGGGUAAGUAGACGGCAAAAAGGGGCUGUGUCUGUGCCAAAUAUAGUAAAUCCGACAAGUGCUUUAAUCUCUGACAUGUUUCAGGAUAAAAUCUUGUAUGGGCGCAUCGACAAUAUUAAGCCAUUUCAGAAGGUGACCUGUGAACAGUCACUAUAAAUAGCAGCAUCAUCGGACGAAUCCGCCAUCCCAUCCAUGGCAUGCCCAUGAUAUGAAGGAAUGAGGGAGAGUACAUUACCCUUUCAUCACAAGUGAGGAUCUCUACUCAUACAUCCCCUAUGUCUUAGUGCUGACCCCCCAUUAAGGCUUUACAUUUUCGUUUCGCAGUAGAGCAUGAUUGUCUAAAGGAUAACUGUCCCGUUCGAAGUCUUCGUCCCCGCAAGCAGGAGCGCCAACUGACUUCAAAGAUGGCUCCUGGUGUCGACCACGUGGACGAUGAGAACUUUGUCAUCAACUUGCUCUCACUUCACAAUCCUCACCUAAUUCGGGAAGUUCUGCCGCCAAGGCUGACUGAUCCAAGACGAAUUUUUGAGGAUCGUUAGGCCCACAUGGAGUGUUACGGCUUAUUACUGAUUUAUUUAUUUAUUAUUUAUUCAGAUCUUGUGGUGGAGAGAACCGAAAGAAUAGAGGGAAUAUAUAUAUAUAUAUAUUUGAAUCCUUUUAGGUAGUUUCCCUUUUACUCAGAAAUCUCUCAAUGCAAGUCCGGGAGAUUACGCUCUCUAGGAUCAACAAUAUCAG
rnacentral:sRNA from 1 species